rnacentral:rRNA from 1 species
CCCGAAGAGAUUUGGGAGUGCUCGCAAGGAGAACCGGAACACAGGUGCUGCAUGGCUGUCGUCAGCUCGUGUCGUGAGAUGUUGGGUUAAGUCCCGCAACGAGCGCAACCCUUGUCAUUAGUUGCCAUCAUUUGGUUGGGCACUCUAAUGAGACUGCCGGUGACAAACCGGAGGAAGGUGGGGAUGACGUCAAGUCCUCAUGGCCCUUAUGGGUAGGGCUUCACACGUCAUACAAUGGUCGGUACAGAGGGUUGCCAACCCGCGAGGGGGAGCUAAUCCCACAAAGCCGAUCGUAGUCCGGAUCGCAGUCUGCAACUCGACUGCGUGAAGUCGGAAUCGCUAGUAAUCGUGGAUCAGCAUGUCACGGUGAAUACGUUCCCGGGUCUU